UUUUCCGCGAGCUUCUGACCUGUUGGUUUUUUUUGGCCAUCAAUGCAUCAUCAUGACAUCAUCAUGACAUCAUCAUGUACAUCAUCAUGAAGGGCAAAAAUGGCUGUCAUGAAAUGGGCCAUCUCCUAUCCUCCAAGAGUAAACAGUGCCGGAAUUUACAGAACACAAUGGUGCAGCAGAUACAAAGGAGGGGUGCUGGUAAUGAAAACUAUGCCGGUCCUUUCCAGUACCUCCACCUGAUGACCCAGACUGGACAAGAGCAUAGGUGAUCAUGCAAGCAAGGUAUCACACAAUAAUUGUCCUACCGGAAAACCAGCCAAACACCACUGCCAAGAUUGACUGGGAUCGGCUGACCACACCAGUUUGCAGACACAGAUGUCAAUCAGUGGUGUUUUCCAGGGCACCAGAAAGGGAAAACUACUGGUAAUUGAAGCUGGUAGAUCACUGUGACAUCUCUCGUAAACAAGCUGGGUUGUGGACAAGGAUCACAUCAACCAAGUUCAAAUGUCUUGAACGCGAUAGGACCCCUUCCAUACUGACUGGAAAAGACAUCUAUCAUCUUUGUUUGUACAUGAUCAAGGGUAUCUACAGUUUCUUUGCUGGGAAAAAUGGAAAGCAGUGGAGUUCAACAAUGCUUUGGUUCACCAGUUAUACAGAACAUGCAGGACAUUGUGAACGCCGAGAAUAUCACGAAGGACUGAGUGGCGCCGAAAAUACCUGAAGAUUUACUUUUUCAGCUAAGAAUGACUUUGUAGGCCUAAAGGUUUAGAAGUUAUACCUAAAUUCGUCAGGACUAUUGACUUGCUCCUAAGGAAAACAUUUCAUCCUGGAUGCAGAGAAAGACUGUACAGUAGAACCUCUCUAUUAAGGACACCCUCUGGACUGACAAGUGCUGUCCUUAAUAAAGAGAUGUCCUGAUUAGAGAGGUCAAACUAAAUAGAAACAACCAAUUUGGGACCAAAACUAGUGUUGUCCUUCGUAGAGAGGUGUCUGCUAAGGGAGGUUCUACUGUAGUUACAUUACUUAUUAGUUAGUUUUAGUGUUAGUUUUCACUGUUGAAGGAUACAGACACAGAUGUGAAUCGGCAGUGAAGGUGACCUUUUCAAGUGAGGAACCAACGUCUUGGUAUUGCAGCCACUGUAGCUUAGGUAGUGACCUACAUGAAGUUGUUUUCAGUUAUGAAAGUCCAUGGGGUUAGUCGCAUUUAACCUUGACUCUGUAGGACUGGGUCCAUUGAAUGUAACAAAAAUAAUCGAUGCCUAUUUACAAAUGAAAUGAAGAGUCUGCAUUUUGGUGCAACUCCAUAUAACUGUCAGGUGAUUUCACUCUGAACUUGUGACACUCUGAUCGAUCUGAAAUAAUCAUUAUCCCGCCCCUCUGGGAAAAAUUUGCAGCCAGAAUGCACCAUUUCCUGUUACCGUCUGAGAGAUGGCGAUGUCAGGGGUGCAUGACGGUGGUUAAACCUAUUGCGAAUGGGCAGCACAAUUGGGUGUAGGAUAUUCGAAAACCAUUGCACACUCCUGAAUCUGCGGUGGGUUGGUACCCCACGCUACGUAAGGAGUAGGUUGACGGGUAAGACUUGGUCCACGUGAAUGGGUCGUGCCUUAAAAAUGAUGAGAAGUUGCGAAUUGACGCCCUGUGAAGUGUCCUUCGACCAGCUAGUGCUAAUCCGGUCACUGUCUCCAGGUCACCAUGCCUCGGUCAAUGAGCGGGCGAAGCACCCAAUGGCUCCGUCAGGAGUACAUCGUCAACUUCAGCCCGUAGUCAAACCGGUACACGCACAAAUAUCUUAGUUGAGAGUGGGGGACAUCAGUAAAGUGCUUCUCAUCGGGGUAAUACAGUACCACUGUAUACAAUGACCCCAUUUUUUGUUGGAUUCAUUUCCACUGAGGAGUGGUCGAUAAUGAGCACAUCAGGCCAGUCUGAUUGUCACCAGUCCAGAGGGAAAAUACCCGAUAGUUAUGUGGCUUUCCAUUGAACUGUUUAUUCUUUCAUAUCAAUUGUAAAUUAGUGUUGCUUGGUAGUGUUCAGGGUCUUUUUGUCGAACAGACGCAUCUGCAUACCAGUAAUUAUGUGCAAACGUCAUUUUUGCUUUGAAGCAAUAUCGUUACUACACUCCUAAAGCAGUGGCUGUCUUCAGGUCUUUUCUGCCUCUCGGUCAAAUCUGCAUACCAGUAAUUAUAUGCAGACUUAAGUUUUGCUUUGAAGCAAUAUCGCGCUACACUUGUGAAGCAGUGGCAGUGUUCAGGUCUUGUCUGCCUCGCUGACAUAUCUGCAUACCAGUAGUUGUAAGAUAAAUCCUGUUUGUAAUUUUGUAAAUUAGUUGCUCAUUAAGGGCUUACCGAGGUUUUGAUGCCUUAUUGCUGGCAUAUCUGCAUACCAGUAAAUAUGUGCAGAUUCAUUUCUUGCUUUGAAGCAAUAUUGUUGCUACACUCCUAAAGGAGUGGCAAUGUUCAGGUCUUUUCUGCCUCGCCGGCAAAUCUGCAUACCACAGUAAUUAUGUGCUGACUUUGCUCUUCCAGAGAUUGUAGGACUGGGUCCAUUGAAUGUAACAAAAAUAAUCAGUUAGGAGCACAUCGUCAACUUCGUCUGUAGUCAAACCGUUAGGCGCAAAUAUCUUAGUUGAGAGUGGGGGACAUACGCGAAAGUGCUUCUCAUCGGGGUAAUACAGUACCACUGUGUACAAUGACCCCAUUUUAGUUAGAUGGUUUUUCACCGAGGGGUAGUCGGUAAUGAGAAUGUCAGGCCAGUCUGAUUGUCACCAGUCUCGAGGGAAAAUACCUGAUAGUUAUGUGGCAUUUGUUCCUUGUUUACUCUUUCGUGUCAUUUAUAAAUUUGUGUUGCUCGUUUCACCUUGCAUCUCAUGGGCAAAAAGAACGGGUGGAGAAACGAUUCUCCCUGAUGUUGGUCUUUUACUGGAGAUCAUGAUCACUCUUGUCAGUUCCGUGAUUCCUUUUU